UACGUAGGGACCGAGCGUUGUCCGGAAUCAUUGGGCGUAAAGAGCGUGUAGGCGGCCACUUAAGUCCUGCGUGAAAUCCUGCGGCUCAACCGCAGGCGGUCGUGGGAAACUGGGUGGCUAGAGUGCGGGAGAGGAGAGUGGAAUUCCCAGUGUAGCGGUGAAAUGCGUAGAUAUUGGGAGGAACACCAGUGGCGAAGGCGGCUCACUGGACCGGAACUGACGCUGAGGCGCGAAAGCGUGGGGAGCAAACGGG
rnacentral:rRNA from 1 species